CACGAAACGUUUGUUCGCCAGCACAGAAACAACUAAAUAUAUUGUAUUUAUUGUAUUUUCAUGAUAUAUGAUAAAAACAAUAAAUAUUUGCGUAUUUUUGUCAUAAAUCAUAAAAAUACAAUAAAUACAAUAUAUUUAGUUGUUUCUGUGCUGGCGAACAAACGUUUCGUG